UUUUUUAGAUUUGGUGUAAAAAAUAGAGUACCACGGGAGAGAUGGCAACGUACUUCAAAUUUCUGGCACGAGGCCAUUUUUGCAAAACGUUUCUUCAUGGAUCAAAUAAUUAAACGGUGGCACUAGUCCUUUUUUUGCAAAUCUCCCUUUCGUAAAGUUUUUGUUAUUGGCAGCCUAAACCUGAUCGACUGCUAAUUUCCCAAUUUCACCGAAGGGUUCGAACUAGGGUUUUCUCACUCGAACAGUAUCGGGAAAGGGAAGAGUAAAAUCGAGACCAUAGAGAUUAAGCCAAAUUCGGCGGUUUGCGAUGGAUCUAGAGGUGGUGGGACGCCAUGCCCUACUCUUCGACGACGACGCCAUGGCGGCGUUCGUCAACUCCGACGACGCUCUUGUCGAAUGGAAUUCUCUCCAAAUUGAUCGUUACGAUGUCCGCCACCUUCUCUCCGCGCCUCCACCUUCCCGCCGGCGGUCUCACUCCUCUACGUCUUCGAAUCUCGUCGAUUCUUCGAUUCAGUUCGAGCUCGAUCAUGAACGCUACCUCGAUCUUCCUUCGCCUUCAGAUGAACCAGGUAAACUUGACUCUUGUUUCCUUUUUUUUUCUUUUUUUUUUAAAAUUCUAACAUUGCGUGGAUAACUUUUUCAUGUAUUAUAACCUCCACCUUCCCGCCGGCGGUCUCACUCUUCUACGUCUUCGAAUCUCGUCGAUGCUUCGAUUCAGUUCGAGCUCGAUCAUGAACGUUACCUCGAUCUUCCUUCGUCUUCAGAUGAACCAGGUACACAUAACUCUUGUUUCCUUCUUUUUUUUUUUUUUUACUAAAAUUCUAACAUUGCCUGGAUAACUUUUUCAUGUAUUAUAUUAUGUUAAUAGUGUUAUGUUCUAAUUUAGCGUAAAUAAUCAGGAUGCUAACCAUC
rnacentral:lncRNA from 1 species